rnacentral:rRNA from 1 species
CACGUGGGUAAUCUACCUUCUAGUGUGGAAGUAAACCCCUGGGAAAACCCGGGGGCGUAAUACCGCAUAAGCCUGUGAAGGGAAAGCAGCAAUGCGCUGGAAGAGGAGCCCGCGGCCGAUUGGCUAGUUGGUGAGUAACGGCCCACCAAGGCGAUGAUCGGUAGCCGGCCUGAGAGGGCACACGGCCACACUGGCACUGAAACACGGGCCAG